GGGCCAGAAGGAGCUUGUUAUGAAGAGUAGUGGAGUGGAAUCGUGGCCAUCACCGUGACCUACCACGUGGAGUCUGUUGCGGGGAGUGGAGCGGCAUCCGUUGUCGUGACUUGCCAUUGAGUGGAAGAGCCAUGCGAUAUCCGUCGUAGGAAGUGGAGCAGAGUCGUGGCCAUUAUUGUAGUCUGCCAGGGAGUGAUGGAGCCACACAGAAUCCGUCGCAGGAAGUG
rnacentral:lncRNA from 1 species